UACGUAGGGGGCAAGCGUUAUCCGGAUUUACUGGGUGUAAAGGGAGCGUAGACGGUUAUGCAAGUCAGAAGUGAAAGUCCAAAGCUCAACUUCGGGACUGCUUUUGAAACUGUGUAACUAGAGUGCAGGAGGGGUAAGCGGAAUUCCUAGUGUAGCGGUGAAAUGCGUAGAUAUUAGGAGGAACACCGGCGGCGAAGGCGGCUUACUGGACUGUAACUGACGUUGAGGCUCGAAAGCGUGGGGAGCAAACAGG
rnacentral:rRNA from 1 species